rnacentral:sRNA from 1 species
GCUCAGUGUCCAGACCCUUGAUUCCCGGCCCAGUGUCCCCAGCCCCAAGUCUGCUGGUGCCAGUGGCAGCAAAGAUGCUCCUGUCCCUGGAGGUCCUGGCCCUGUGCUCAGCGACCGCAGGCUCUGCCUUGCUCUGGAUGAGCCCCAGCUCUGCAACGGGCACAUGGGGUAUUCUACCAGGCCUGGUGCUGGCCUCCUGUGAUGGGCCUUCGCACCCCCAGGCCCCAUCUCCUUGGCUAACCCCUGAUCCAGCCUCUGUUCAGGUACGGCUGCUGUGGGAUGUACUGACCCCUGACCCCAAUAGCUGCCCACCUCUCUAUGUGCUCUGGAGGGUCCACAGCCAGAUCCCCCAGCGGGUGGUAUGGCCAGGCCCAGUACCUGCAUCCCUUAGUUUGGCACUGUUGGAGUCAGUGCUGCGCCAUGUUGGACUCAAUGAAGUGCACAAGGCUGUGGGG